CUCGCGAUCGAAUCCCUGAUGGCUGUGAGCACAAACUGAUCGUAGUGUUCUCCUAAUCUCAUUGAUUUCAACAAUUAAGGGAUAACAUAGCAUCUCUCUCCACUGUGAUUUCAGCAUCCAGGAAACUUCCAUUGGACUUUGGAAGAUGUUGCCAAAUCAAUUGUUUGCAUAAUGUCUAGCACAUGCCAAGCUGGCCAUACACAGAUGCUCAAUGAUUGGUAUGAUAGAGAGAUUGAUGCUAUUAAUGAACCUUAUCAUCCUAUUCCUUCAGGGGUAAUAUCUGAGAAUGAGGUAUGGAAUGUGAUUAAUUAUUUUUUUUAUACGCGAAUGAGCACCA